UAAGCCUGAGCCGAAGAGGGAGCGAAAUCAAGUAGCGAAGCAUGCGAUUUCACGCUGGCGAGAAAAGUUGCUAGUUUAUCGAAAAGGCGCCCGUACCGCAAUCCGACGCAGGUAGGCGAGAAGAGAAUUCUAAGACGAACGGGAGAAUCCUUGUUAAGGAACUCGGCAAAAUGACCCCGUAACUUCGGGAGAAGGGGUGCCGAUGGAAACAUCGGUCGCAGAGAAUAGGCUCAAGCAACUGUUUAGCAAAAACACAGGUAUCUGCGAAAGAGAGAUCUGACGUAUAGGUGCUGACACCUGCCCGGUGCUGGAAGGUUAAGGGGAAAUGUUAGGGCAACCGAAGCAUAGAACCGAAGCCCCAGUAAACGGCGGCCGUAACAAUAACGGUCCUAAGGUAGCGAAAUUCCUUGUCGGGUAAGUUCCGACCCGCACGAAUGGUGUAAUGAUUUGAGCGCUGUCUCAACAGGGAGCCCGGUGAAAUUGAAGUAUGGGUGAAGAUGCCCAUUACCCGCGACUGGACGGAAAGACCCCGUAGAGCUUGACUGUAGCUUGAUAUUGGAUUUCGGUAACGGAUGCACAGCAUAGGUGGGAGACUGGGAAACCACUACUUCGGUAGUGAUGGAGUCGCCGUUGGGAUACCACUCUUCUGUUAUUGGAAUUCUAACAUAGCGCCAUGAAACUGGUGGAUGGACAGUGUCAGGUGGGCAGUUUGACUGGGGCGGUCGCCUCCAAAAGAGUAACGGAGGCGCCCAAAGGUACCCUCAGAAUGGAUGGAAACCAUUCAAAGAGUGCAAAGGCAGAAGGGUGCUUGACUGUGAGAGUGACAACUCGAUCAGAGACGAAAGUCGGGCUUAGUGAUCCGGCGGUAUUGAGUGGAAAAGCCGUCGCUUAACGGAUAAAAGCUACCUCGGGGAUAACAGGCUGAUCUCCCCCAAGAGUCCACAUCGACGGGGAGGUUUGGCACCUCGAUGUCGGCUCGUCGCAUCCUGGGGCUGAAGCAGGUCCCAAGGGUUUGGCUGUUCGCCAAUUAAAGCGGCACGCGAGCUGGGUUCAGAACGUCGUGAGACAGUUCGGUCCCUAUCCAUCGUGGGCGUAGGAGUCAUGAAGGGAGCUGUUCCUAGUACGAGAGGACCGGAAUGGACGCACCACUGGUGCAACUGUUGUCGUGCCAACGGCAUAGCAGGGAAGCGAAGUGCGGAUGGGAUAAACGCUGAAGGCAUCUAAGCGUGAAGCCCACCUUAAGAAUAAGACUCCAAGCAGCAAUGCGAGAGACCCCUGGAAGACUACCAGGUGAUAGGUCAUCGGUGGAAGUGCAGUAAUGCAUGCAGCUUGAUGAUACUAAUCGGUCGAUAGCUUGACU
rnacentral:rRNA from 1 species